rnacentral:tRNA from 1 species
AUCCCUGUAGCGCCAUGGAUAGCGUGUUGAACUUCUAAUCCAAAGGUCGUAGGUUUGAAUCCCACCUGGGAUG